AAUCCAUAGGUUAAUGAGGCGAACCGGGGGAACUGAAACAUCUAAGUACCCCGAGGAAAAGAAAUCAACCGAGAUUCCCCCAGUAGCGGCGAGCGAACGGGGAGGAGCCCAGAGCCUGAAUCAGCAUGUGUGUUAGUGGAAGCGUCUGGAAAGGCGCGCGAUACAGGGUGACAGCCCCGUACACAAAAGCGCAUGUGCUGUGAGCUCGAUGAGUAGGGCGGGACACGUGGUAUCCUGUCUGAAUAUGGGGGGACCAUCCUCCAAGGCUAAAUACUCCUGACUGACCGAUAGUGAACCAGUACCGUGAGGGAAAGGCGAAAAGAACCCCGGCGAGGGGAGUGAAAAAGAACCUGAAACCGUGUACGUACAAGCAGUGGGAGCCCCACCACCAAAGCAUUCUCUG
rnacentral:rRNA from 1 species